UGGAGGAAGGUGGGGAUGACGUCAAGUCAUCAUGGCCCUUUACGACCAGGGCUACACACGUGCUACAAUGGCGCAUACAAAGAGAAGCGACCUCGCGAGAGCAAGCGGACCUCAUAAAGUGCGUCGUAGUCCGGAUUGGAGUCUGCAACUCGACUCCAUGAAGUCGGAAUCGCUAGUAAUCGUGGAUCAGAAUGCCACGGUGAAUACGUUCCCGGGCCUUGUACACACCGCCCGUCACACCAUGG
rnacentral:rRNA from 1 species